UUCAUAUACCACAUAUUUGAUAAGAAAAAAAAAUAAUAAUAAAGUAUAUAUAGUGGAGGGAUGAAGAGCAGAAUUUUCUAUAUAUUCAUAUAUCAAUAUUUGGAGAUCCCACCACAGCAUUGAGCAAUAAAAAUUAGAUCCCCACCUCUUGACUUCGUCUGGCCUGUAUUCACCUGCGGGCAACGUCUUUUUCCCUACACCAUCGGUGUAAAAAAUUAUCAUAUCAUUGUCCUUUGGUUGAAAAUGGGUCCAAUAUUAACUAAUCUGAUAUAUUUUCCUGUGCUAGUACUUUUGUUCUUUCUGGUUGGCAGCCGGUAGCUAGCAGGCCUGGCCUGCAAAAAGCUCGAAAGUCGACAAGACCUCUGCAAACUCUUUAGUCCACACAUGGCUUACAGUAUAACAGUAGUCAUGCUGCAUGCAUGGAUCAGCUGGAAGAAACUUUUGCUUUAUGCUUUUUUUUCUUUUCUUUUUACUAUAAGAGAUCUAGAUGUUGAUGGAUGCUUAGGAAGCAAAGAAAGCGAUGUUGGUGUGGUUCAAUCCGAUGACGGAUUUACGUGUGAAAGUCGUAAAAGACGAUCUCAGAUUGAGCCGCGCCAAUAUCACUUUCAAUAUCGAUCAUGAAUUCCUAUAUCCCUUUCUUCUCUUCUCUCCCUUUAGUUUCUUUCGACAACUUGGUUAAUUUAAUAAGCUGAUAUUAUUCAGUCUUUCAUUUUUCUUAAUAUAUAAGCCAUGUGUUUUGUCAAACCUCUCAGCUUCUUACAGCUAGCAGUUAGUAUUUCUGUCGGAAAAUUCGACGAUUUUGUACCAUAUUUAUUGAGGUCGCAGUACUACAACUGAAGAAUUGGCCAAGGAAAAGUCACAGGAGACAAACAAUCACAAUUUUUGACUAAGGGAUUGAGGGCUGCACCAGCUAAUCUUGACAUUGGAGGGGCUUCAACAGCUAUCUUGGACCAGCAGCUUUCUCUUGGUGGGUGAGAUCGGCUGCACGGUCGGAUUUACAUGGGUGGAUUUCAACCUAGCUAGCAUUUAAUAUUGCUGUUUUCUGGCUCCAAGCUGUAGUAGUACUUCCGUUUCAAAGAAAAAAGAGUUGUUUGUUGCAAGGACGGCAACAAUAGCGGAGCUGAAAGAGGCGGUGGAAGAUGUUUUCGGUCAUUCACCAGAUCAGGAUAGAGAAGACGCUACGAUUUCUUGGUGUCUUGUAUGGAGUCAUUUUUGCUUAUGCUACAAAGGUCGGAAACUAGUUGAUGAUAAAGCAUAUAUCCGACUGUAUGGAAUCAAAGAUGAGGAUCAGCUUUAUUUUGUUCGGCAUCUUUCAAUUAAUGGCCAAGAAGACUUCAGGUAGAUCAUGUAGCUAGCUAGGAUCGAUGCAUGGAUCGAUCUUGCUGAUCAUUCACUUGAUCAUAUAUAUAUAUAUAUAUAUGGAAGAUCAUCAAGGCCGCUAGCUAGGGCCGGGCGAAGCUGCAUGCAGUACGUACACAUGCGCCUACGUACCAAGCUGGACUUGAAAGCUUUAUUCUUGAAGAUGCUAGCUGGAAGUUACAUUUUUUUUGGGAAGAGCUUUAUUAUAUAUA